rnacentral:rRNA from 1 species
AUUGAACGCUAGCGGAAUGCUUUACACAUGCAAGUCGAACGGCAGCACGGGGCAACCUGGUGGCGAGUGGCGAACGGGUGAGUAAUACAUCGGAACGUGCCCAAUCGUGGGGGGAUAACGUAGCGAAAGUUACGCUAAUACCGCAUACGAUCUACGGAUGAAAGCGGGGGAUCGCAAGACCUCGCGCGAUUGGAGCGGCCGAUGUCAGAUUAGGUAGUUGGUGGGGUAAAGGCUCACCAAGCCGACGAUCUGUAGCUGGUCUGAGAGGACGACCAGCCACACUGGGACUGAGACACGGCCCAGACUCCUACGGGAGGCAGCAGUGGGGAAUUUUGGGACAAUGGGCGCAAGCCUGAUCCAGCCAUUCCGCGUGCAGGAUGAAGGCCUCGGUU